rnacentral:rRNA from 1 species
CCUACGGGAGGCAGCAGUGGGGAAUAUUGCACAAUGGGGGAUACCCUGAUGCAGCCACGCCGCGUGGGUGAAGGAGCGUUUCGGCGCGUAAAGCCUUGUCAGUGGGGAAGAAGAAAGACGGUACCCGACCAAGAAGCCCCGGCUAAAUACGUGCGAGCAGCCACGGUAAUACGGAGGGGGCGAGCGUUUUCCGGAAUUACUGGGUGUAAGGGGAGCGGAGACGGUGAGGUAAGCCGGAAGUGGAAGCACGCGGCCCAACCGCGGAACUGCAUUGGGGACUGUUUGGCUGGAGUAUGGGGUGGGUAAGCGGAAUUCCUGGGGUAGCGGUGAAAUGCGUAGAUAUCAGGAGGAACACCGGUGGCGAAGGCGGCUUACUGAACCAUAACUGACGUUGAGGCUCGAAAGCGUGGGUAGCGAACAGGAUUAGAUACCCUAGUAGUC